UACGUAGGUGGCAAGCGUUAUCCGGAAUUAUUGGGCGUAAAGCGCGCGCAGGUGGUUUCUUAAGUCUGAUGUGAAAGCCCACGGCUCAACCGUGGAGGGUCAUUGGAAACUGGGAGACUUGAGUGCAGAAGAGGAAAGUGGAAUUCCAUGUGUAGCGGUGAAAUGCGUAGAGAUAUGGAGGAACACCAGUGGCGAAGGCGACUUUCUGGGCUGUAACUGACGCUGAGGCGCGAAAGCGUGGGGAGCAAACAGG
rnacentral:rRNA from 1 species